AAGAUGCAGUGUACCCGCGGCAAGACGGAAAGACCCCGUGAACCUUUACUAUAGCUUGACACUGAACAUUGAGCCUUGAUGUGUAGGAUAGGUGGGAGGCUUAGAAGUGUGGACGCCAGUCUGCAUGGAGCCGACCUUGAAAUACCACCCUUUAAUGUUUGAUGUUCUAACGUUGACCCGUAAUCCGGGUUGCGGACAGUGUCUGGUGGGUAGUUUGACUGGGGCGGUCUCCUCCUAAAGAGUAACGGAGGAGCACGAAGGUUGGCUAAUCCUGGUCGGACAUCAGGAGGUUAGUGCAAUGGCAUAAGCCAGCUUGACUGCGAGCGUGACGGCGCGAGCAGGUGCGAAAGCAGGUCAUAGUGAUCCGGUGGUUCUGAAUGGAAGGGCCAUCGCUCAACGGAUAAAAGGUACUCCGGGGAUAACAGGCUGAUACCGCCCAAGAGUUCAUAUCGACGGCGGUGUUUGGCACCUCGAUGUCGGCUCAUCACAUCCUGGGGCUGAAGUAGGUCCCAAGGGUAUGGCUGUUCGCCAUUUAAAGUGGUACGCGAGCUGGGUUUAGAACGUCGUGAGACAGUUCGGUCCCUAUCUGCCGUGGGCGCUGGAGAACUGAGGGGGGCUGCUCCUAGUACGAGAGGACCGGAGUGGACGCAUCACUGGUGUUCGGGUUGUCAUGCCAAUGGCACUGCCCGGUAGCUAAAUGCGGAAGAGAUAAGUGCUGAAAGCAUCUAAGCACGAAACUUGCC
rnacentral:rRNA from 1 species